rnacentral:miRNA from 1 species
GCAAAAAUGUGGUCUUUCAUCGUCACGUGCAUAUUGUAUUUUUGCUCAACCAGCCAAUAGCGACGGUUUUGUCCAAUUGCCCAUCCAUGACUUUAACAAUAGGACAUUUUGAACAUUCCUAUUGGUUGACUUGAAAAAAAUACAAUACGCACGUGACGAUGAAAGACCACAUUUUUGC